UGGGGAAUAUUGCACAAUGGGCGCAAGCCUGAUGCAGCCAUGCCGCGUGUAUGAAGAAGGCCCUCGGGUUGUAAAGUACUUUCAGUCGGGAGGAAGGUGGUAAGGUUAAUAACCUUAUCAAUUGACGUUACCGACAGAAGAAGCACCGGCUAACUCCGUGCCAGCAGCCGCGGUAAUACGGAGGGUGCAAGCGUUAAUCGGAAUUACUGGGCGUAAAGCGCACGCAGGCGGUUGAUUGAGUCAGAUGUGAAAUCCCCGGGCUUAACCCGGGAAUUGCAUCUGAUACUGGUCAGCUAGAGUCUUGUAGAAGGGGGUAGAAUUCCAUGUGUAGCGGUGAAAUGCGUAGAGAUGUGGGGGAAUACCGGUGGCGAAGGCGGCCCCCUGGACAAAGACUGACGAUCAGGUGCGAAAGCGUGGGGAGCAAACAGG
rnacentral:rRNA from 1 species